UACGUAGGGUGCGAGCGUUGUCCGGAAUUAUUGGGCGUAAAGGGCUCGUAGGCGGUUUGUCGCGUCGGGAGUGAAAACCCAGGGCUUAACCCUGGGCUGGCUUCCGAUACGGGCAGACUAGAGGUAUGCAGGGGAGAACGGAAUUCCUGGUGUAGCGGUGAAAUGCGCAGAUAUCAGGAGGAACACCGGUGGCGAAGGCGGUUCUCUGGGCAUUACCUGACGCUGGGGAGCGAAAGUGUGGGGAGCGAACAGG
rnacentral:rRNA from 1 species